UACAGAGGUCUCAAGCGUUGUUCGGAUUCAUUGGGCGUAAAGGGUGCGUAGGCGGCGCGGUAAGUCGGGUGUGAAAUCUCGGAGCUUAACUCCGAAACUGCAUUCGAUACUGCCGUGCUUGAGGACUGGAGAGGAGACUGGAAUUUACGGUGUAGCGGUGAAAUGCGUAGAUAUCGUGAGGAAGACCAGUGGCGAAGGCGGAUCUCUGGAGAGUUCCUGACGCUGAGGCACGAAGGCCAGGGGAGCAAACGGG
rnacentral:rRNA from 1 species